rnacentral:rRNA from 1 species
GACGAACCGUCCAAACGUUAUUCGGAAUUACUGGGCUUAAAGGGUGCGUAGGCGGCUUGGCAAGUUGGGUGUGAAAUCCCUCGGCUCAACCGAGGAACCGCGCUCAAAACUGCCAGGCUAGAGGGAGAUAGAGGUGAGCGGAACUAAUGGUGGAGCGGUGAAAUGCGUUGAUAUCAUUAGGAACACCUGUGGCGAAAGCGGCUCACUGGAUCUCUUCUGACGCUGAGGCACGAAAGCUAGGGUAGCGAACGGG